GCCGCUGUGGUGGAAUAGGCAGACACAAGGGACUUAAAAUCCCUCGGUCGAAUAGACCGUACCGGUUCAAGUCCGGUCAGCGGCACCA
rnacentral:tRNA from 1 species